GCCCUUGUGGCGUAAUUGGAUAGCGCAUCGGACUUCUAAUCCGAAGGCUCUGGGUUCGACCCCCAGCAGGGGCU